CCACCAGCAUUUUGUGUGCGUUGUUUGAAUUUCCAGCAUCUGCGAUUUCCUCGUGUUUAAUCAAUAUGAUCCGCAUAUGUUAACCCUUUCAUUCCUGGAGCCAUUCUCGUGAAUCUCCUCUGGAGGUGACCGUGUAGUUUUCUCCCACAGUCCAAAGGCGUACCGGUUAGUAGGUUGAUUGGUCAUUGUCAAUUGUCCUGUGAUUAGGCUUGGAUAGAAUCGGAGAUCGUUGGGGUCGCACAGUUUAAAGGCCAGCUCUGCACAGUAUUUCUAAAUAAAUAAAUUAUGAAGGACCCUAUCCAGGCUGCUCAUGGACUGUUUGUCCCACUUUCAUCAGGAUGGAGGCUACGUAGCGAUCUUAUGUAUUUAUAUUUAUUGUGUUUUUAAAUUACAGUGUUCUUAGUGUACUUUUUAUGUGCUACAUCAGAUCCGAAGUAACAAUUAUUUUGCCCUCCUUUACACUUGUGCGCCGGAAAUGACAUUAAACAAUCUUGAAUCCACUGACUUUGAGAGAAGUUGAAGGGUUCAAAGCACAAAGUAGUUGGAUGGUAGCGAGUGCUCGCUCGGAACCCAAGUGGAGGUGGGGAUGGGCACGAAUGGUUGCACAGCCACCUGGGAAUUGGAGUUUACUGAGCUUGGCGAGCCUCUGCAGCAGUAAAACUACACUUCCCAGAAGGCACCGCACCUUACCGGUGCAUGCUCGUUGUUCCCCCUCUCUCUCGGCUGCGGAGCGGAAGUAGUAAACGAUCAGCAAGUGAACCGGAGUGGGGUUCAUGAACAGUUCACCCUGUCCGCACCCACCGUCCGUUCACGGCCCGCCUGCCAUGGCCAAGAACCUGCCGCCUGAAGAUCCGAACUUGAUAGCCAAGAUCGUGGAUCACCUGAAGAAUCGCGGCCUGUUUGACGAGUUCCGCAGAGACUGCCUGGCUGAUGUCGACACCAAGCCAGCAUAUCAGAAUCUCAGACAACGAGUUGAUAAUUUUGUCUCCAAUCAUUUGGCUAAUCAUGAGUGGAAUCCAAGCCUUAACAAAAAUCAGCUGCGUAAUGAGCUUCGACAAAGGGUCUGUAAAUCAGGAAUGUUGGAAGCUGGCGUGGACAGAAUUAUUUCUCAGGUCGUAGAUCCGAAGCUAUAUCACAUAUUCAAACCUCAGAUAGAGAAGGCAGUUCAUGAAUUUAUGGCGACAGAAAUGAAUGAAGAAAUUGUGCCAAAUCCUCCACAGGAGCCUGAAAAACAGGAGCUCUCUGCUCCAGCUUCAGGUACACCUUGAGGUAACUUUUCAAAGGCCCUAGCACCAGCAUAAAAAUGACUCGUUUCUACCUUCAACUGUAGUUGCACAAUCAGAUAGUUUUGAAGACUAAUCUUGAAAACCUCCCUAGACAUAACAGUUUUCCCCCCACCCCCUCCCCACACCCC